rnacentral:rRNA from 1 species
UGCCAAGCAGCCGCGGUAAUUCCAGCUCCAAUAGCGUAUAUUAAAGUUGUUGCGGUUAAAAAGCUCGUAGUUGGAGUUCUGCCAGGUGCCGCCUGUCCGCCCCAGUGGUGAGUACGUGGCGCGCAUUUGGCCCUUUCAAGGGGAGCGUAUUGCACUUAACUGUGUGGUGCGGGAUCCUUGACUUUUACUUUGAGGAAAUAAGAGUGUUCCAAGCAGGCUCUCGUCGUGCAUAGCUCAGCAUGGAAUAAUAGCAUUGGAUCUCGAUUCCAAACUGUUGGUUGUAGGAAACGAGAUAAUGAUGAAGAGGGAUAGUUGGGGGCAUUCGUAUUUAACUGUCAGAGGUGAAAUUCUUGGAUUUGUUAAAGACGAACUACUGCGAAAGCAUCUGCCAUGGAUGUUUUCAUUGAUCAAGAACGAAAGUUAGGGGAUCGAAGACGAUCAGAUACCGUCCUAGUCUUAACUAUAAACCAUGCCGGCUAGAGAUCGGAGGUUGUUCGUUUUGUGACGCCUUCAGCAUCUUGAGAGAAAUCAAAGCCUUUGGGUUCCGGGGGGAGUAUGGUCGCAAGGCUGAAACUUAAAGGAAUUGACGGAAGGGCACCACCAGGAGUGGAGCCUGCGGCUUAAUUUGACUCAACACGGGGAAACUCACCAGGUCCAGACUGGGUAAGGAUGUACAGAUUGACAGCUCUUUACAGAUUCUCAGGGUGGUGGUGCAUGGCCGUUCUUAGUUGGUGGAGUGAUUUGUCUGGUUAAUUCCGAUAACGAACGAGACUCUGUCCUGCUAAAUAGUUGGGUCGUCCUUCGUGCGAUCCAAGUUCUUCUUAGAGGGACUGGCUGCGUCUAGCAGCACGAGAUUGAGCAAUAACAGGUCUGUGAUGCCC